rnacentral:tRNA from 1 species
GAGGAUAUAGCUCAGUGGUAGAGCACACGCUUAGCAUGCAUGGGGCCCUGGGUUCAAUACCCAGUACUUUCA